rnacentral:rRNA from 1 species
GACGAACGCUGGCGGCGUGCUUAACACAUGCGAGUCGAACGGAAAGGCCCUGCUUUUGUGGGGUGCUCGAGUGGCGAACGGGUGAGUAACACGUGAGUAACCUGCCCUUGACUUUGGGAUAACUUCAGGAAACUGGGGCUAAUACCGGAUAGGAGCUCCUGCUGCAUGGUGGGGGUUGGAAAGUUUCGGCGGUUGGGGAUGGACUCGCGGCUUAUCAGCUUGUUGGUGGGGUAGUGGCUUACCAAGGCUUUGACGGGUAGCCGGCCUGAGAGGGUGACCGGCCACAUUGGGACUGAGAUACGGCCCAGACUCCUACGGGAGGCAGCAGUGGGGAAUAUUGCACAAUGGGCGGAAGCCUGAUGCAGCAACGCCGCGUGCGGGAUGACGGCCUUCGGGUUGUAAACCGCUUUCGCCUGUGACGAAGCGUGAGUGACGGAAAUGGGUAAAGAAGCACCGGCUAACUACGUG